ACCUCUCAAACCCAGGAACCACAACUGCCAAGCCAGACCUACCCGUAGGAGGACUUUCCCAGCAGUGUGUCCAAGUGGGUGGCUGUUUGUCCAGGCCUGGAGUGAGGGCUAAAAAUCAGGCCAGCGGGGAGCCUGGAAGUGUGGGGGCUGCAAGGUCAGGCUGGGAAGGUGGCAGCAGACACGCAGGGUCAAGUCGGCCAGUCAUAUAAUUUUUACUCUAGUUUCAGUGGGAGCUGUUGGGAGGUUGGAAGCAGAGAAAUACUCAGGUUGGUGAGUUUGAAAGGUGACUUUGAGAACUGCCACUUCCUGUUGGGAUGGAGAGCUUCUGGCAGAUUAUGUUAUAGAGAGUACAAAUUAAAAAAAACAGAUAAAAUAUAGAAAUUGUCUGUUUGAAGGCAUCAGAGAACUGCAAAGUCAAGGAGAAUGUGAACAGCUACAGUGACUAAGAGUCAGUGGGGUUUUGUAGCUGCUCUCAGAUGGGUUGUGGGCCAGGCUUGAAGUGCAGACCAGACUUAUGCAGGCCAGGGCCUGUGUGUCCAGGAUUUGCAACUGCUGCAGGCGAAAGAGAGACCAGGGAGAGACCUGGGAGCCUCACACAUACAGCUUGGUUUUUCCUCAGCUGAAUUUUGAGGUUACAUAGAAUGGGAGGCAAAAAUACCUCAGCUUAAGUCCUCUGGAAAAAACACAACAGUCUCCAGAAGUCUUCAUAAUGUCCAGACACAAAGGUCAGAGUCCAGAACUCAUUCUGGGGAGGGGACCCAGUGAGCACGCCAAACUUUCAGAUUCGUCUCAGCUGUCCCCGCAGGAAUACAGCUGUGUCAUCACAUCCAGUGGCAUCCUAAUAUUUCAUACUAAGCUUUAAACCAAUUAGGAAUGACGACUGACUGUGCUGACUCAUGGGAAGAGAAGGGGAUAAUGUGUCCUUCAGACAGUUCAUAAUUUUCCUGCUGAAUGGAUGAUGAUUUGUGAGGAAGUCGCUGACUGGAUUAUGUGACAGAGCUUAUGAUUACAAACUUGUGUACUUAUUUGAAUCUGCACUGAACUCACAUUGGACUUCAAGUUCCAAGGGCAGGAAGUAUAUCUGUGGUGCUGAUCAUUUCAUCCUAAGGACCUAACACAUUCCCAAGCUUGGGAGGGAUGUGCAGCAAUUACCUGUUGAA